GAUGAACGCUGGCGGCGUGCCUAAUACAUGCAAGUCGAGCGAAAAGACGAGGCUCUUGCUCCUCUGACGUUAGCGGCGGACGGGUGAGUAACACGUGGAUAACCUACCUAUAAGACUGGGAUAACUACGGGAAACCGGAGCUAAUACCGGAGAAUCUAUUGAACCGCAUGGUUCAAUAGUGAAAUACGGCUUUGCUGUCAGUUAUAGAUGGAUCCGGGCCGCAUUAGCUAGUUGGUAGGGUAACGGGCUACCAAGGCAACGAGGCGUAGACGACGUGCGAGAGUGAUAGGCCACCCUGGAGCUUAGCCAGGGACAAGACUCCUAAGGGAGGCAGCAGUAGGCAAUCUGACGCAACGGGCGAAAGCCUGACGGAGCAAGGCCGAGUGAGUGAUGAAGGCGUCGGGAGCGUAAAGCUGUGUUAUGAGGGAAGAGCAAAUGUGUAAGUAACUAAGCACGGCUUGACGGUACCGAAUAAGAAAGCCACGGCUAACUACGUG
rnacentral:rRNA from 1 species